GUCACUGUCUCAGAAAGGUCUACAGUAAGAGGUAGUUGAGAACCAAGCCGGCAGUCUCCCAGGAACAGACAACACUCGAAAUGGGUGACAUUUGUUGUAAGAAAGACUAGACAGACUGGUAUUUGUGGACCCAAAAAUGAUGCUGCCUGCCAGCAUGCAGCCACAAAAGCUUGCAAGUAUUCCAGAUGAUAUUGCUACUCUAUUUCCUAAAUUGGAAUGUCCUAGGUGUCACAGCAGAGAUUGCAUGAUUUCGGGGCUCAGCUCCUGCUUGGUCUUAUUCAGACAACCAAUAAAUUAUUAUCAACUGAUGUUGAUAAACACUCAAAAAAAAUGAAAGCAGCCAUGAGAAGAAGCCCAUCCUUUACCACAUGAACAAGACAUCAAAGAGCUCCAUCAAGGGCAAAGGCGUAUUUUCAGGAAGACUAGACUGGACUGAAAUGAUACAAGGAAACUGUAAUCUACUCAACUGUGUUGCAACUGUCCUAUUUGGGGUGAUGAUACGUUGAUAGCCAUUUCUGUGGAGUUCUGGAAGUCUAAAAGAAAGAGAGCUAUUGAGCAAGAAGUUGUGAGUGCUUUUCUUAUGGAAUCCAGGAUGCUGGGGUUUUGUUUCUAGACAACUAGUAAGAUUCUAC
rnacentral:lncRNA from 1 species